UACGUAGGUGGCAAGCGUUGUCCGGAAUUAUUGGGCGUAAAGCGCGCGCAGGCGGCCUCUUAAGUCUGAUGUGAAAGCCCCCGGCUCAACCGGGGAGGGCCAUUGGAAACUGGGAGGCUUGAGUAUAGGAGAGAAGAGUGGAAUUCCACGUGUAGCGGUGAAAUGCGUAGAGAUGUGGAGGAACACCAGUGGCGAAGGCGACUCUCUGGUCUGUAACUGACGCUGAGGCGCGAAAGCGUGGGGAGCAAACAGG
rnacentral:rRNA from 1 species